rnacentral:sRNA from 1 species
AUCAACUCUCUGAGGUACUUGGAAAAACAUUCAACUCAUGUACGGAGUGAGAAAAUUUGAUCUUCGGGCUGUAUGCACACAUCUUACAGAAAUCAGGGAGAAAGAUGUAAUUGAAGAAUGAAAUAGAAUUGAAGGACAUUAACUUGUGAUGACAAGUGGAAGAAUCUAGAUGAAGCAUGAGAGCAUCUGUAAAAGGUCAGAUCUCAAGGAGACAACAACCAUACACUAAAAAGCAAGAACCAAUAACACAAGGCAAAAGUCUUCACCUGGAGCCUCAACAAGGCAACUGGAUAAGAGGCAAAGAUUUCCAAGACUACGGAAAAGAAACUGCAAGACUGGUGUACCCUUACUGGGAGCAUAAACAACAGAAUGCAAUACCUUUCUCAGACUGGCGUGAAUCUUUAUCACCAGUCCAGUUAUCAGA